CAUAUAAGAGCUAUGUCAUAUAAUGGGGGAGCACUAGCUCCAGCUGGUACUAAUGUUCCCUGAGCUUCACUGGGAAAUCUCUCCCAGUAUUUCUGUGUCCAGUAUGGUGAACAGAUACCAAGAGAAGAUCUGACCUCUUGCAGUUUAUUUCCUCCUCUGAAAGAUUUUCCAGGUGGCCGAGCGCAAAGCAAAUAUUUAUAGAUCAAAAUAUUUCUCUUCUCCAUGGGAGGGAAACAGUAAAAGUGCAGAUAUUAAUUUGGUUUUGCAGAGAACUGGAAAUAAUGACAAACUGGUCAUUAAAACUAAGCCUCUUUUUUUUUCUUUCUUUCUUUGCAGAUGCAAAUAAACUUUCUAAGGACAAAUCUGAACCCAUACGUUUCUUUCUCAUAAGAUGGUUAGCAGGAGUGGUUAAUCAGCUGUUCAAGAUAGAUGGAGAAGUGUCAGAGAGGAGAAAGACACAGACAUAUCUUGGCAUCCAUGAUGAUAAAAAUACACUUUUCUACAGACCAGAGGAGGCCGAAAUAUUUACUGUAACUCAGAAAGCAAGUACCAAGUGGUUAAGCAAAAAGACAGAAGGAGAGAAGACUACACUGGGCUGUACACACAGAAGAACCAGAAAAAAUAAAUACUAUAUGCAGCCUACAGCCUCCUUCUGGAAUUUGCUGCCACCAGAGAUCAUUAACUCAAGAACUGUGUCCAGAUUUUUUAAGGCUGGAUAAGUUAACGCUUAAUAAUGGCAUGCACUGUUAUUCAACCCUGUGUAACAAAGUAGAUAAUAAAAGUUCAUUUCAAGAUGUAAACA
rnacentral:lncRNA from 1 species